GACGAACGCUGGCGGCGUGCUUAACACAUGCAAGUCGAACGGUAAGGCCCUUCGGGGUACACGAGUGGCGAACGGGUGAGUAACACGUGGGUGAUCUGCCCUGCACUUCGGGAUAAGCCUGGGAAACUGGGUCUAAUACCGGAUAGGACUCCUGCCUGCAUGGGUGGGGGUGGAAAGCUUCUGCGGUGUGGGAUGGGCCCGCGGCCUAUCAGCUUGUUGGUGGGGUGAUGGCCUACCAAGGCGACGACGGGUAGCCAGCCUGAGAGGGUGACCGGCCACACUGGGACUGAGAUACGGCCCAGACUCCUACGGGAGGCAGCAGUGGGGAAUAUUGCACAAUGGGCGCAAGCCUGAUGCAGCGACGCCGCGUGAGGGAUGACGGCCUUCGGGUUGUAAACCUCUUUCAGCACAGACGAAGCGCAAGUGACGGUAUGUGCAGAGGAAGGACCGGCCAACUACGUGCCAGCCGCCGCCGUAA
rnacentral:rRNA from 1 species